CCCUUAGAUGUUCUGGGCCGCACGCGCGCUACACUGAUGCAUUCAACAAGCCUAGCCUUGACCGAGAGGUCCGGGUAAUCUUUGAAACUGCAUCGUGAUGGGGCUAGAUUAUUGCAAUUAUUAAUCUUCAACGAGGAAUGCCUAGUAAGCGUGAUUCAUCAAAUCGCGUUGAUUACGUCCCUGCCCUUUGUACACACCGCCCGUCGCUCCUACCGAUUGAAUGUGUUGGUGAGGAGCUCGGAUUGGCAGCAGUUGGUGGUUCGCCACCGGCUAUUGCUGAGAAGUCCUCCAAACCGCCCCAUUUAGAGGAAGGAGAAGUCGUAAUA
rnacentral:rRNA from 1 species